AAAACGGUGCUUUUUUUAAAGCCACUUCAUUUUCUAACAAAAAAAAAAU
rfam:Amborella trichopoda AMTR_V1.0_contig_42188, whole genome shotgun sequence.